GGAUAUUUAAGGAGACAUGAGGUUUACAGAGAACAGACAAACAAUAUGGCGCACCGAGUACAGACAAACAACACAACACUCCGUGAUGGAGCACGCCCAGAGCUCAACAAAUUGGACUCGGACACCUUCCGUCCGGACACAGACGGAGAGAAGGUUCACAGAUGAGGUGGCAUUCGUCAUGGAUGUGCUUCUGCCAGAGGCGACAGUCCACGCCCUUGCAG